GGGGUAGUUUUCAGUACGUAGGCGCCAUGGAUGGCGAAUCGUGCAUGCUGCUAGCAAGAACCAGCAGAAUCUUUUAAAGAUUUCUACCUC
rfam:Glossina pallidipes unplaced genomic scaffold Scaffold29, whole genome shotgun sequence.